UAGUAUGAGAGGCAUAGAUGGGACCAGUGUUUGGAGGGCAUGCUGGUUCCUACAGUGCCAUAUGGAGAUCCCAGGGGUGGCUCCAGGUCAUACAUAGUAAUCAUCAUGACACAAUGACAUUUCAUAAAGAACAUUUAAGGCUAAGGCUUAACACUGGAUGAUUUGUGUGGAGGAAGAGUUGGCGGCAGAGCACGGUGAUACACCCCUGAUGAAGUCGUUACUGACGAAAUGCGUUGGAUGACACGCAUUCUUUGAGAACACAGAAGCUAACACAAAAACAAGCUCUGCCCCAAUCAGGGAGUUCUUAAGGAAAACUUUGUAAUAAUUGAAUGUACUUUUUUAUUACUAC